rnacentral:rRNA from 1 species
AGCGAACGCUGGCGGCAGGCUUAACACAUGCAAGUCGAGCGGGCCCUUCGGGGUCAGCGGCAGACGGGUGAGUAACACGUGGGAACGUACCCUUUGGUUCGGAAUAACGCUGGGAAACUAGCGCUAAUACCGGAUACGCCCUUUUGGGGAAAGGCUUGCUGCCGAAGGAUCGGCCCGCGUCUGAUUAGCUAGUUGGUGGGGUAAUGGCCUACCAAGGCGACGAUCAGUAGCUGGUCUGAGAGGAUGAUCAGCCACACUGGGACUGAGACACGGCCCAGACUCCUGCGGGAGGCAGCAGUGGGGAAUAUUGGACAAUGGGCGCAAGGCUGAUCCAGCCAUGCCGCGUGAGUGAUGAAGGCCUUAGGGUUGUAAAGCUCUUUUGUCCGGGACGAUAAUGACGGUACCGGAAGAAUAAGCCCCGGCUAACUUCGUG